GACGAACGCUGGCGGCGUGCCUAAUACAUGCAAGUAGAACGCUGAAGGAGGAGCUUGCUUCUCUGGAUGAGUUGCGAACGGGUGAGUAACGCGUAGGUAACCUGCCUGGUAGCGGGGGAUAACUAUUGGAAACGAUAGCUAAUACCGCAUAAGAGUGGAUGUUGCAUGACAUUUGCUUAAAAGGUGCACUUGCAUCACUACCAGAUGGACCUGCGUUGUAUUAGCUAGUUGGUGGGGUAACGGCUCACCAAGGCGACGAUACAUAGCCGACCUGAGAGGGUGAUCGGCCACACUGGGACUGAGACACGGCCCAGACUCCUACGGGAGGCAGCAGUAGGGAAUCUUCGGCAAUGGACGGAAGUCUGACCGAGCAACGCCGCGUGAGUGAAGAAGGUUUUCGGAUCGUAAAGCUCUGUUGUAAGAGAAGAACGAGUGUGAGAGUGGAAAGUUCACACUGUGACGGUAUCUUACCAGAAAGGGACGGCUAACUACGUGCCAGCAGCCGCGGUAAUACGUAGGUCCCGAGCGUUGUCCGGAUUUAUUGGGCGUAAAGCGAGCGCAGGCGGUUAGAUAAGUCUGAAGUUAAAGGCUGUGGCUUAACCAUAGUAGGCUUUGGAAACUGUUUAACUUGAGUGCAAGAGGGGAGAGUGGAAUUCCAUGUGUAGCGGUGAAAUGCGUAGAUAUAUGGAGGAACACCGGUGGCGAAAGCGGCUCUCUGGCUUGUAACUGACGCUGAGGCUCGAAAGCGUGGGGAGCAAACAGG
rnacentral:rRNA from 1 species